GCCAUGUGAUCUGAAUCAGUUUCUCUGAAAAGUCUUGACGAAUGCUGGUCAAUAGCAUGUUAGAGUUCUGAUGGCA
ensembl:snoRNA SNORD28 Small nucleolar RNA SNORD28